GACCUGUCAUUUUAAAAUGUCUCCUUGGCACAACAGUAAGAGAGAAAAAGCAAAGUUUUGGUCUUAAGAUUUUGUGCACAUAAACAGAAUUACUAUCUUAAAUGAAAUUAGACUGAUUUUAAACUCAAAACAAAACAAACAAACAAAAAAAAACCAAACCAACAACAAAAAAAUUGUAGCUCUCGGGCUGGAGCGGUAGGGAGCUUGCACACUUUCACAUUGUAAUGCUUAGUUUCCAAGCACUCCUUUCUUUAGGGAAGUCGGCUGUGCUGCAUCACAUAUCCUGACUCCUGUGUGUUAUACAUGGAAUGAGCCAGGACAGACUGUGUACCAGCAGCUCUAUCAAAGUAAUCCAGAAAUAUGUUUCGCCCCACAGAAUAUGUGAGGAAAUUUCAAGUACCUUACACAUAAGAGAAAAAAAAAUGCUUAAAUUGUACUCAUUUGAGAAAAUUUCUAUAAAGCAAGUCAUACUGGUUUGGCUCAGGGACUUGGAGGCUUGGGGAGCUAUAACCUAUAUUACCAUGGGGAGUGCCAAGAAAACUCAUGUGGCUUCUAGAAAUAUGCAGUUCCUGUUUUCAUCCAGCUAGCUCCUAGUCUCAGUCUCCUGGGAAAAAACUCUCACCACCAGUUUACAGCAGAGCUGAGUAGUAGUUCUCAAACUCUGUUGUUAGAGUUAUUGCAAUGAAUAAAUAACCAAAAAUUCAGUGGAUCAUGGGCUUGCUCAAAUAACUGCUGUGUAGGGUCACUCCUUGACUUUGCAGGACAGCAGUUGUUUUUUUAUCCAUAAAGCUGUUUCUGUGGAGAUUUUCUAGAAUAUAAGCCUUUAUCAACUCUCUGUAUUUUUCUCCACAGAUCUGUUUUGAGCACUUCUCUCUUCCACAUAAUCUCUAUUGAUUAUCCUAAAGCAAGACUUGAAGAAGUAUGGAUAGACUGUUGGGUUUGAAGACCUCUCUCAGUGAACAAAGCCAUUGGGUGAAUUUCCAUAUGUGCCUGGAAAACAAGAAAUUCCAGACAAAGGACAAAUCACUUUGGUAUCUACUUUCUACUCAAG